ensembl:lncRNA
CAGAAAACAACCACAGCUUGCUUCUUUUGCUCCAGAAGACAGACUAUUCUAUUUGGUCCUGUGAGCAAAUUUGGGCAUGUAAGAGGAUGCUUCAGCCCCUAAACGCAUGGACGCUGAGGGGCCACUUCAGCAUUGCAGGCUGUUACCUCCUCAUUUGCUUCCUCGACCUACUGCUAGCAGUUGGAAUUUUCCUCUGAAGCGUUCUGCCUCUUGGUGUCCCCUCCACACGCACUCCAUUGUACUCAGCAGACAAAUAAAACAGUGGAGGGAUUACUGCCUCACGGGAGACAAAUACACUCACAAGACAACCUGAAUGCCUCACCCAACAAGCUCUUCACACAGCCUCCUGCACGCAUACAAUCUGUUGUGCAGUCAUCUAACCACGGGCUCUGCACCGCUUCCCAGGACUCCACAAUCACAGAUGGGCUAUGACUAAACUUUCCAUGGAGACAUUCCUCUGAUGAUAAACCAACACAGCCCCUAAUCCUUUUGUCAAUAAAUACAUUGCCCAGGAGAAUGAAGGUCAAGAACGAUCUAUAUAAAAGCAGAGAAUGAUGUAGGGUAGGGGUCUUCAUAUUUAAGACAUUGAGCUGGAGUUUAUAUAUGACCUUAGAAGAAGGGAAAACAUACCUGUAUUGGUUGAAACACAACAGUCGUCAGACACUUCGAAUGACUGCCUGCACAGCCUGCAGGGCAGGAGGAAGACAAUGCAGCCUUUCUGUACAGGCCACUUCUACUUUGAACAUUCCUGUCAACCUGAGUGAUAACAGGGGUCAACUAUCAAAACCAAAAUGAACUCACAGAUGUCCAGGAGCACUGAAAGAUUCAUUUUCUUUGCAGAAGAGGAGAAGAAAUUCACUUACAUACUUCAGGGGGAAAG